GAUGAACGCUGGCGGCGUGCCUAAUACAUGCAAGUCGAGCGAAGAAACGAGGAGCUUGCUCCUCUUACGUUAGCUGCGAACGGGUGAGUAACGCGUAGAUAACCUGCCUAUUAGACGGGGAUAACUUCGGGAAACGAGAGCUAAUACCGGAUAAUAUUUGAAACCACAUGUUACAAUAUUGAAAGGGGGAAUUGCUGCACUUUAAGAUGGACUCGGGUUGGAUUAAGUAGUAGGUGAGGUAAUGGCCCAACUAGGCGACGAUACAUAGCCGACCUGAGAGGGUGAUCGGCCACACUGGGACUGAGACACGGCCCAGACUCCUACGGGAGGCAGCAGUAGGGAAUCUUCGGCAAUGGGGGCAACCCUGACCGAGCAACGCCGCGUGAGUGAAGAAGGUUUUCGGAUCGUAAAGCUCUGUUGUAAGUCAAGAACGGGUGUGAGAGUGGAAAGUUCACACUGUGACGGUAGCUUACCAGAAAGGGACGGCUAACUACGUG
rnacentral:rRNA from 1 species